rnacentral:rRNA from 1 species
GACGAACGCUGGCGGCGUGCUUAACACAUGCAAGUCGAGCGGUAAGGCCCUUUCGGGGGUACACGAGCGGCGAACGGGUGAGUAACACGUGGGUGACCUACCCUUAGCUCUGGGAUAAGCCUGGGAAACUGGGUCUAAUACCGGAUAUGACUCCAUGACGCAUGUUGUGGGGUGGAAAGCCUUGUGCGGCUAGGGAUGGGCCCGCGGCCUAUCAGCUUGUUGGUGGGGUGAUGGCCUACCAAGGCGACGACGGGUAGCCGGCCUGAGAGGGCGACCGGCCACACUGGGACUGAGACACGGCCCAGACUCCUACGGGAGGCAGCAGUGGGGAAUCUUGCGCAAUGGGCGAAAGCCUGACGCAGCGACGCCGCGUGGGGAUGACGGCCUCGGUUGUAA